rnacentral:misc_RNA from 1 species
ACCGGCGAGCUGGGGGGGGAAAACUCUUUCCCCCCCCGCGCCGCCCCCGAAAUGAAUUGGCGGUCUCGUCGCGGCCUCCUCUGCGUAGUAGCACAACCUCGCAACAGGAGCGCGGCGCGGCCACUGCCGUAAAACGCCCAACUUUUUCUCAAGAGUUGACCUCGAAUCAGGUAGGAAU